rnacentral:rRNA from 1 species
UACGUAGGGGGCUAGCGUUGUCCGGAUUUAUUGGGCGUAAAGGGCGCGUAGGCGGCGCAACAAGUCAGGCGUGAAAGCCCCGGGCUCAACCUGGGAGGUGCGCUUGGGACUGUUGUGCUUGAGUUCGGGAGAGGAGAGUGGAAUUCCCAGUGUAGAGGUGAAAUUCGUAGAUAUUGGGAAGAACACCGGUGGCGAAGGCGGCUCUCUGGACCGAGACUGACGCUGAGGCGCGAAAGCGUGGGGAGCAAACAGG